AGUGAACGCUGGCGGUAGGCCUAACACAUGCAAGUCGAACGGCAGCACAGUAAGAGCUUGCUCUUACGGGUGGCGAGUGGCGGACGGGUGAGGAAUACAUCGGAAUCUACUUUUUCGUGGGGGAUAACGUAGGGAAACUUACGCUAAUACCGCAUACGACCUACGGGUGAAAGCAGGGGAUCUUCGGACCUUGCGCGAUUGAAUGAGCCGAUGUCGGAUUAGCUAGUUGGCGGGGUAAAGGCCCACCAAGGCGACGAUCCGUAGCUGGUCUGAGAGGAUGAUCAGCCACACUGGAACUGAGACACGGUCCAGACUCCUACGGGAGGCAGCAGUGGGGAAUAUUGGACAAUGGGCGCAAGCCUGAUCCAGCUAUACCGCGUGGGUGAAGAAGGCCUUCGGGUUGUAAAGCCCUUUUGUUGGGAAAGAAAAGCAGCAGGUUAAUACCCCGCUGUUCUGACGGUACCCAAAGAAUAAGCACCGGCUAACUUCGU
rnacentral:rRNA from 1 species